AGCGAACGCUGGCGGCAGGCUUAACACAUGCAAGUCGAGCGGGCAUAGCAAUAUGUCAGCGGCAGACGGGUGAGUAACGCGUGGGAACGUACCUUUUGGUUCGGAACAACACAGGGAAACUUGUGCUAAUACCGGAUAAGCCCUUACGGGGAAAGAUUUAUCGCCGAAAGAUCGGCCCGCGUCUGAUUAGCUAGUUGGUGAGGUAAUGGCUCACCAAGGCGACGAUCAGUAGCUGGUCUGAGAGGAUGAUCAGCCACAUUGGGACUGAGACACGGCCAAAACCCCUACGGGAGGCAGCAGUGGGGAAUAUUGGACAAUGGGCGCAAGCCUGAUCAAGCCAUGCCGGGUGAGUGAUGAAGGCCCUAGGGUUGUAAAGCUCUUUUGUGCGGGAAGAUAAUGACGGUACCGAAAAAAUAAGCCCCGGCUAACUUCGUGCCAGCCGCCGCCGUAA
rnacentral:rRNA from 1 species